rnacentral:rRNA from 1 species
UACGGAGGAUCCGAGCGUUAUCCGGAUUUAUUGGGUUUAAAGGGUGCGUAGGCGGUAUAAUAAGUCAGUGGUGAAAGUCUGUGACUCAACCAUAGAAGUGCCAUUGAAACUGUUAUACUUGAGUAUAGAUGAGGUAUGCGGAAUGUGUAAUGUAGCGGUGAAAUGCUUAGAUAUUACACAGAACACCGAUUGCGAAGGCAGCAUACUAAGCUAUAACUGACGCUGAUGCACGAAAGCGUGGGUAGCGAACAGG